rfam:Pseudocercospora fijiensis CIRAD86 unplaced genomic scaffold MYCFIscaffold_8, whole genome shotgun sequence.
UUCUCCGUGGCGCAAUUGGCUAGCGCGUUCGACUGUUAUUCUAGCAAGAAGAGCAGAGCAUCGGGAGGUUGACAGUUCAAUCCUGUCCGGGGAAG